GAUGAACGCUAGCUACAGGCUUAACACAUGCAAGUCGAGGGGCAGCAUGUCGGUUGCUUGCAACCGACGAUGGCGACCGGCGCACGGGUGAGUAACGCGUAUCCAACCUACCCUUGUCCAUCGGAUAACCCGUCGAAAGGCGGACUAACACGAUAUGCGGUUCUCAGCAGGCAUCUAACGAGAACGAAAUGUGAAGGAGAAGGAUGGGGAUGCGUCUGAUUAGCUUGGUGGCGGGGGAACGGCCCACCAAGGCGACGAGCAGUAGGGGUUCUGAGAGGAAGGUUCCCCACAUUGGAACUGGGACACGGUCCAAACUCCUACGGGAGGCAGCAGUGAGGAAUAUUGGUCAAUGGACGAGAGUCUGAACCAGCCAAGUAGCGUGCAGGAAGACGGCCCUAUGGGUUGUAAGCUGCUUUUAUAGGGGGAUAAAGUGUGCCUCGUGUGGCAUAUUGCAGGUACCCUAUGAAUAAGGACCGGCUAAUUCCGUGCCAGCAGCCGCGGUAACAC
rnacentral:rRNA from 1 species